rnacentral:rRNA from 1 species
UGCGAAGGCGGUCGUCUAAGUCGGAGGUGAAAUGUCUACGGCUCAACCGAGGCAUUGCCUCCGAUACUGGACGACUUGAGUGCGGAAGGGGAGCGUGGAAUUCCUGGUGUAGCGGUGAAAUGCGUAGAUAUCAGGAGGAACACCGGUGGCGAAGGCGACGCUCUGGUCCGCAACUGACGCUCAUGCACGAAAGCCAGGGGAGCGAACGG